rnacentral:rRNA from 1 species
AUUGACCGCUGGCGGCAGGCUUAACACAUGCAAGUCGAGCGAGCGGCGGACGGGUGAGUAAUGUCUGGGAAACUGCCUGAUGGAGGGGGAUAACUACUGGAAACGGUAGCUAAUACCGCAUACCAUCAGAUGUACCCAGAUGGGAUUAGCUUGUAGGUGGGGUAAUGGCUAACCUAGGCGACGAUCCCUAGCUGGUAUGAGAGGAUGAUCAGCCACACGGGAAAUGAGACACGGUCCAGACUCCUACGUGAGGCAGCAGUGGGGAAGAUUGCACAAUGGGCGCAAGCCUGAUGCAGCCAUGCCGCGUGUGUGAAGAAGGCCUUCGGGUUGUAAAGCACUUUAAGCGAGGAGGCGUUACUCGCAGAAGAAGCACCGGCUAACUCCGUGCCAGCAGCCGCGGUAAUUC